UGUGUUAGGUAUCCAAAGAGGAGGCCAAUUUUGGUGUAGCCUGAUGUAAUCUCCAGAUAUCUCUGAUGCAAGGUGAUCUCUGGCACUAAAGCAUCUGGUUGUAGCACAAAGUUUCGGCGCAAACAAAGUGCAACCACAAAAAACAGUCAUGAUACCAGAAAGGAUGAAAAGUCCAGGUCUACCUCUCCCUGAAAUCACAUCAUGUAUUUUUAUCAUUGUUAGCACCAUCAUUGUCAUUGUCAUGCUCACCAUAUGAUUAAAGGAUUCCACUUCUUCAGAUCAUGGCAGCUUUACAAAGCCACAUCGAUAUUAAUCUUUUGGCUAGGAUGUAUUUCCUUUGAUACUUUAAGGAAUUGGAAAUGAAUAGUAGAUAUGCCAACUGAGAAAGUUUUGCUAGUUUCAUAAAUAAUAGCUAAGUUCAAAUGAAAUGAUCAACACCAGUUCAUUUGGGAAUUAACAGGGGUAUGCUAACUAAGAAAGGAUGCUGAUUCUUUAAUUAAUAAAUUUUGUGCAUUCAUCAAAACUUGAUCCUCUAGAAUUGCGUGAGAAGGGAAUUCAAUGUUUAUUCAAUCAGGUUCAUGUAAAUGCGAUGACUGAUAAAUUUCUUUCAAAGAUAAUUCAAGAUUUCACUAGCAGGUAACUUUUUCUCAUGAUUUUGUCAAAGCUGUGGUUAGAUAUUUUCCUGAUAAAUGGAUACCUUGGAGUAAUUGGUCAUUAUUCAUUAAUUUAUCAUUAAAUUGCACAAGGUUCAGGCAUGUGCUCACGUAUGUGCAAUAACAUAGUGAAUACCAUAUAAUAUUAAUCUACACUAUCCAUUUAUACAUAUUAUGUAAAGCACAAUAUGUGAAUAAUAUACAACAGAAUGCUUAUGAAUUCUCCUUGAAUUGGAAAUAUGGAAAGAUAUUAAAUAUGAUGAGGCCAAACUGUUUAGAAGCCUACCUUAGAUUGUAAGAGUAAUGUUCAAUCCGUUGGUUGUAUCUUUCAAUGUCCCUUCCUAUCAGGUACAGUGAAUGCUGAUGUAGAAAUAAAGCCA
rnacentral:lncRNA from 1 species